AUUGAACGCUGGCGGCAUGCCUUACACAUGCAAGUCGAACGGCAGCACGGGAGCUUGCUCCUGGUGGCGAGUGGCGAACGGGUGAGUAAUGCAUCGGAACGUGCCCUGAAGUGGGGGAUAACGUAGCGAAAGUUACGCUAAUACCGCAUAUUCUGUGAGCAGGAAAGCAGGGGAUCUUCGGACCUUGCGCUUUUGGAGCGGCCGAUGUCGGAUUAGCUAGUUGGUGGGGUAAAGGCCCACCAAGGCGACGAUCCGUAGCGGGUCUGAGAGGAUGAUCCGCCACACUGGAACUGAGACACGGCCCAGACUCCUACGGGAGGCAGCAGUGGGGAAUAUUGGACAAUGGGCGAAAGCCUGAUCCAGCCAUGCCGCGUGAGUGAUGAAGGCCCUAGGGUUGUAAAGCUACUUUCGCCAGGGACGAUAAUGACGGUACCUGGAUAAGAAGCCCCGGCUAACUUCGUGCCAGCAGCCGCGGUAAU
rnacentral:rRNA from 1 species